AUACGUAGGGAGCGAGCGUUGUCCGGAAUUACUGGGCGUAAAGGGUGCGUAGGUGGCGCUGCAAGUCAGAUGUGAAAUCCCCGGGCUUAACUCGGGGGGUGCAUUUGAAACUGCAGUGCUUGAGUGCAGGAGAGGAAAGCGGAAUUCCUAGUGUAGCGGUGAAAUGCGUAGAUAUUAGGAAGAACACCAGUGGCGAAGGCGGCUUUCUGGACUGUAACUGACGCUGAUGCACGAAAGCGUGGGGAGCAAACAGGAUUAGAUACCCUGGUAGUCCACGCUGUAAACGAUGGAUACUAGGUGUGGGGGACAUACAACCUCUGUGCCGAAGCAAACGCAUUAAGUAUCCCGCCUGGGGAGUACGGUCGCAAGACUGAA
rnacentral:rRNA from 1 species